rnacentral:rRNA from 1 species
UACGUAGGGGGCUAGCGUUGUUCGGAUUUAUUGGGCGUAAAGAGCGUGUAGGCGGCCAUGUAGGUCCGGUGUGAAAACUCGAGGCUUAACCUCGAGAUGUCAUCGGAAACCAUUUGGCUAGAGUCCGGAAGAGGAGAGUGGAAUUCCUGGUGUAGCGGUGAAAUGCGCAGAUAUCAGGAAGAACACCAAUGGCGAAAGCAGCUCUCUGGGGACGGUACUGACGCUGAGACGCGAAAGCGUGGGGAGCGAACAGG